GCAUUUGUCGGGAACAAACGUUGAAUUAAUGGAGCAUUGUGUGCCUUUGCUGACAUUGGACGUUUCCUGGACUUCUUGUUUUAUUUCUUGCUUCCUGGAUUAAUUGCCUUGUUCCUUUGCUUCCUGGACUAAUUGAUUUAUUCCCUUGCCCUACUGCAUUUCUUGUUUUGCAGCCGUUGUGCUCACAGCUUUGUGCUGGAGGGGUGUGUGUGACUUCCCAGAAACA